UACGUAGGUGGCAAGCGUUGUCCGGAAUUAUUGGGCGUAAAGCGCGCGCAGGCGGUCCUUUAAGUCUGAUGUGAAAGCCCACGGCUCAACCGUGGAGGGUCAUUGGAAACUGGGGGACUUGAGUACAGAAGAGAAGAGUGGAAUUCCACGUGUAGUGGUGAAAUGCGUAGAUAUCGGGAGGAACACCAGUGGCGAAGGCGGCUUUCUGGCCCGUUCUUGACGCUGAGGCGCGAAAGCUAGGGUAGCAAACGGG
rnacentral:rRNA from 1 species